UACGUAGGGACCAAGCGUUGUUCGGAUUUACUGGGCGUAAAGGGCGCGUAGGCGGCAAUUCAAGUCAUCUGUGAAAUCUCCGGGCUUAACUCGGAACGGUCAGAUGAUACUGCUUUGCUAGAGUGCGGAAGGGGCAAUCGGAAUUCUUGGUGUAGCGGUGAAAUGCGUAGAUAUCAAGAGGAACACCUGAGGUGAAGACGGGUUGCUGGGCCGACACUGACGCUGAUGCGCGAAAGCGUGGGGAGCAAACAGG
rnacentral:rRNA from 1 species